rnacentral:rRNA from 1 species
UACGAAGGGGGCUAGCGUUGCUCGGAAUCACUGGGCGUAAAGCGCACGUAGGCGGCUUUUUAAGUCAGGGGUGAAAUCCUGGAGCUCAACUCCAGAACUGCCUUUGAUACUGAGAAGCUUGAGUCCGGGAGAGGUGAGUGGAACUGCGAGUGUAGAGGUGAAAUUCGUAGAUAUUCGCAAGAACACCAGUGGCGGAGGCGGCUCACUGGCCCGGUACUGACGCUGAGGUGCGAAAGCGUGGGGAGCAAACAGG